rnacentral:rRNA from 1 species
AUUUAAUUGGAGAGUUUGAUCCUGGCUCAGAUUGAACGCUGGCGGCAGGCCUAACACAUGCAAGUCGAGCGGUAACAGGAGAAGCUUGCUUCUCGCUGACGAGCGGCGGACGGGUGAGUAAUGCGUAGGAAUCUACCCUUUAGUGGGGGAUAGCCCGGAGAAAUCCGGAUUAAUACCGCAUGAGCUCUUCGGAGGAAAGUGGGGGAUCUUUGGACCUCACGCUGAAGGAUGAGCCUACGUUGGAUUAGCUAGUUGGUGGGGUAAAGGCCUACCAAGGCAACGAUCCAUAGCUGGUCUGAGAGGAUGAUCAGCCACAC